rfam:Serratia marcescens subsp. marcescens Db11, complete genome
UUUGGCGUUGGCCUUGCGCGCCAUGAUGCCGUUGCCGACCGCGUGCAGCAGGUGAGUUUUACCCAGGCCGGUACCGCCAUA